AGACCCAGGUGGUGAAAUCACACGCUCUGGACAUUAUCAUGAGUUUUGAGCCGAACAGUAAGUACUAUAGUGUGGGCCCUAAAACUUCAGAGAAGAGGAAUGACAUGGAGCUGAAUGAUUACUGGCUAGUCCUAACUAAGGGAGUGAGGGGCUGAGCUGUGGGAAUGAAAACAGUGGCAACUGUGACCUCAUGACAAUUGAAAAUAGAGCAGGGAAAUAUGACUAUGAUCUGCUCUGCACCAUCUGUAGAUCUGUCCUGAGGUAUCCUGUCAGAGUGGCCUGGAACCAUGUAUUCUGCAAGAUCUGCAUCCUACAGUGGCUCAGGAGUGUAACAAUGAUGGUUGCUCGGCCACCUUCCCUCUGUCUGAGGAGCUCGUUGGUGCACCGGUCAGCCCUGGAGCCAGCUCUGCCCCAUGGACUGUGGUGCUCUGCUCACACAGGCCACCCAGAACCAACACAACUGCUUCAGUUUGGAUUCCAGGCUAGAAUUUCCCCUUGACAAUAUACAAAUGAUCUUGGUGUAAAUGGAUGAAUCCUCUUUGAUGAUGAUUAUGGUUACCCUAGGCGGCUGAAGCAGCAGGUGGAGUCCCAGAGGCAGAACCACAGAGCCAUUGAUGGCGCCCUCCGGAGGAAGAUGAGGAGAAUGCAGACACAAGUUAGGAGGCAGGUGGCACUCAUCUGUGAGAGUCUAGAGGUCAUGGGAGAGGCAGAGGAGGGACAGGAGGGUGAGGGAGAGGUGUAUGAGGGAUAUAGAGAGGGGGAAGGAGAGGUGUAUGAGGGAUAUGGAG